rnacentral:rRNA from 1 species
GAUGAACGCUGGCGGCGUGCCUAAUACAUGCAAGUCGAGCGAACAGACGAGGAGCUUGCUCCUCUGACGUUAGCGGCGGACGGGUGAGUAACACGUGGAUAACCUACCUAUAAGACUUGGAUAACUUCGGGAAACCGGAGCUAAUACCGGAUAAUAUAUUGAACCGCAUGGUUCAAUAGUGAAAGACGGUUUUGCUGUCACUUAUAGAUGGAUCCGCGCCGCAUUAGCUAGUUGGUAAGGUAACGGCUUACCAAGGCAACGAUGCGUAGCCGACCUGAGAGGGUGAUCGGCCACACUGGAACUGAGACACGGUCCAGACUCCUACGGGAGGCAGCAGUAGGGAAUCUUCCGCAAUGGGCGGAAGCCUGACGGAGCAACGCCGCGUGAGUGAUGAAGGUCUUCGGAUCGUAAAACUCUGUUAUUAGGGAAGAACAAAUGUGUAAGUAACUAUGCACGUCUUGACGGUACCUAAUCAGAAAGCCACGGCUAACUACGUG